GAUGAACGCUGGCGGCGUGCCUAAUACAUGCAAGUCGAGCGAACGGACGAGAAGCUUGCUUCUCUGAUGUUAGCGGCGGACGGGUGAGUAACACGUGGAUAACCUACCUAUAAGACUGGGAUAACUUCGGGAAACCGGAGCUAAUACCGGAUAAUAUUUUGAACCGCAUGGUUCAAAAGUGAAAGACGGUCUUGCUGUCACUUAUAGAUGGAUCCGCGCUGCAUUAGCUAGUUGGUAAAGUAACGGCUUACCAAGGCAACGAUGCAUAGCCGACCUGAGAGGGUGAUCGGCCACACUGGAACUGAGACACGGUCCAGACUCCUACGGGAGGCAGCAGUAGGGAAUCUUCCGCAAUGGGCGAAAGCCUGACGGAGCAACGCCGCGUGAGUGAUGAAGGUCUUCGGAUCGUAAAACUCUGUUAUUAGGGAAGAACAUAUGUGUAAGUAACUGUGCACAUCUUGACGGUACCUAAUCAGAAAGCCACGGCUAACUACGUGCCAGCAGCCGCGGUAAUACGUAGGUGGCAAGCGUUAUCCGGAAUAUUGGGCGUAAGCGCGCGUAGCGGUUUUUUAGUCUGAUGUGAAAGCCCACGGCUCAACCGUGGAGGGUCAUUGGAAACUGGAAAACUUGAGUGCAGAAGAGGAAAGUGGAAUUCCAUGUGUAGCGGUGAAAUGCGCAGAGAUAUGGAGGAACACCAGUGGCGAAGGCGACUUUCUGGUCUGUAACUGACGCUGAUGUGCGAAAGCGUGGGGAUCAAACAGGAUUAGAUACCCUGGUAGUCCACGCCGUAAACGAUGAGUGCUAAGUGUUAGGGGGUUUCCGCCCCUUAGUGCUGCAGCUAACGCAUUAAGCACUCCGCCUGGGGAGUACGACCGCAAGGUUGAAACUCAAAGGAAUUGACGGGGACCCGCACAAGCGGUGGAGCAUGUGGUUUAAUUCGAAGCAACGCGAAGAACCUUACCAAAUCUUGACAUCCUUUGACAACUCUAGAGAUAGAGCCUUCCCCUUCGGGGGACAAAGUGACAGGUGGUGCAUGGUUGUCGUCAGCUCGUGUCGUGAGAUGUUGGGUUAAGUCCCGCAACGAGCGCAACCCUUAAGCUUAGUUGCCAUCAUUAAGUUGGGCACUCUAAGUUGACUGCCGGUGACAAACCGGGGGAAGGUGGGGAUGACGUCAAAUCAUCAUGCCCCUUAUGAUUUGGGCUACACACGUGCUACAAUGGACAAUACAAAGGGCAGCGAAACCGCGAGGUCAAGCAAAUCCCAUAAAGUUGUUCUCAGUUCGGAUUGUAGUCUGCAACUCGACUACAUGAAGCUGGAAUCGCUAGUAAUCGUAGAUCAGCAUGCUACGGUGAAUACGUUCCCGGGUCU
rnacentral:rRNA from 1 species